CUACUCUUGUAUCCUCCUUUUGACUUUCAGAGAUGAUUGUCUUCGGUUCGGCCGGGGGAGUGACAGGUGCUGCAUGGCUGUCGUCAGCUCGUGUCGUGAGAUGUUGGGUUAAGUCCCGCAACGAGCGCAACCCUCAUCGUAUGUUGCCAUCAGGUAAUGCUGGGCACUCGUGCGAGACCGCCGGUGAUAAGCCGGAGGAAGGUGGGGACGACGUCAAGUCAUCAUGGCCCUUACGAGUAGGGCUACAAACGUGCUACAAUGGUGGUGACAGUGAGCAGCCACUCCGCAAGGAGGAGCUAAUCUCUAAAAGCCAUCUCAGUUCAGAUU
rnacentral:rRNA from 1 species